GGAUGAACGCUGGCGGCGUGCCUAAUACAUGCAAGUCGAGCGAAUGGAUUGAGAGCUUGCUCUCAAGAAGUUAGCGGCGGACGGGUGAGUAACACGUGGGUAACCUGCCCAUAAGACUGGGAUAACUCCGGGAAACCGGGGCUAAUACCGGAUAACAUUUUGAACUGCAUGGUUCGAAAUUGAAAGGCGGCUUCGGCUGUCACUUAUGGAUGGACCCGCGUCGCAUUAGCUAGUUGGUGAGGUAACGGCUCACCAAGGCAACGAUGCGUAGCCGACCUGAGAGGGUGAUCGGCCACACUGGGACUGAGACACGGCCCAGACUCCUACGGGAGGCAGCAGUAGGGAAUCUUCCGCAAUGGACGAAAGUCUGACGGAGCAACGCCGCGUGAGUGAUGAAGGCUUUCGGGUCGUAAAACUCUGUUGUUAGGGAAGAACAAGUGCUAGUUGAAUAAGCUGGCACCUUGACGGUACCUAACCAGAAAGCCACGGCUAACUACGUGCCAGCAGCCGCGGUAAUACGUAGGUGGCAAGCGUUAUCCGGAAUUAUUGGGCGUAAAGCGCGCGCAGGUGGUUUCUUAAGUCUGAUGUGAAAGCCCACGGCUCAACCGUGGAGGGUCAUUGGAAACUGGGAGACUUGAGUGCAGAAGAGGAAAGUGGAAUUCCAUGUGUAGCGGUGAAAUGCGUAGAGAUAUGGAGGAACACCAGUGGCGAAGGCGACUUUCUGGUCUGUAACUGACACUGAGGCGCGAAAGCGUGGGGAGCAAACAGG
rnacentral:rRNA from 1 species